rnacentral:rRNA from 1 species
UAGCGAAAGACAGGUGAGAAUCCUGUCCACCGAAUGACUAAGGUUUCCUGGGGAAGGCUCGUCCUCCCAGGGUAAGUCGGGACCUAAGCCGAGGCCGAGAGGCGUAGGCGAUGGGUAACAGGUUGAGAUUCCUGUACCAGUUAACUGCGUUUGACGAUGGAGGGACGCAGGAGGCUAAGCAAACCGUACGACUGGAAGAGUACGGCCAAGCAGUAAGUCAGGAUGUGAG